rnacentral:lncRNA from 1 species
ACGAGGCAUGACUGGAGUAGAAAAAUGCCCCUUGCUGUGUCCGGCGGAUGUCGAUGCGCUUCCUCUCGCCGUACCCUGUCGCAACGUUUGAGACACAAAUGACUAUCGAAGGAUGACGGACGUAUGUGGCAAUGGUGCUUACCUUGCAACCAUUCGUCACAAGUGGCACGUCGAUUCAUAUUCCCUAGUAUUGAAGGUGAGGCAGUUCGGUUAAAUAGUAAUAACCCUGUCUCGCCAACCCCACGCGCAAGUACUGCUCGCACUACCGAGAAACGGGUUCAAACGGAACAACAUAAAAUUCUCCUGGGGGUCAUCCACGCAUUGCAAGGUUUGUUCGCUGCGC